rnacentral:rRNA from 1 species
UGAGGAAUAUUGGUCAAUGGGCGCAAGCCUGAACCAGCCAAGUCGCGUGAAGGAAGAAGGCUCUAUGGGUCGUAAACUUCUUUUAACUGGGAAUAAAACGGGGGAUGCAUCUCCCCUUGCAUGUACCAGUAGAAUAAGCAUCGGCUAACUCCGUGCCAGCAGCCGCGGUAAUACGGAGGAUGCAAGCGUUAUCCGGAUUUAUUGGGUUUAAAGGGUGCGUAGGCGGAUCAAUAAGUCAGCGGUGAAAUCCUGAGGCUCAACCUCAGCACUGCCGUUGAAACUGUCGAUCUUGAGUGUAAAUGAAGUAAGCGGAAUGCGUGGUGUAGCGGUGAAAUGCAUAGAUAUCACGCAGAACUCCAAUUGCGAAGGCAGCUUACUAAGCUACAACUGACGCUGAAGCACGAAAGCGUGGGUAUCGAACA